rnacentral:rRNA from 1 species
GACGAACGCUGGCGGCGUGCCUAAUACAUGCAAGUUGAACGCUAAAGCUUUAACUGGUGCUUGCACCGACUUAAGUUUUUAGAGUAGCGGACGGGUGAGUAACACGUGGGUAACCUGCCAUCAGAGGGGGAUAACACUUGGAAACAGGUGCUAAUACCGCAUAACAGUUUAUGCCGCAUGGCAUAAGAGUGAAAGGCGCUUUCGGGUGUCGCUGAUGGAUGGACCCGCGGUGCAUUAGCUAGUUGGUGAGGUAACGGCUCACCAAGGCCACGAUGCAUAGCCGACCUGAGAGGGUGAUCGGCCACACUGGGACUGAGACACGGCCCAGACUCCUACGGGAGGCAGCAGUAGGGAAUCUUCGGCAAUGGACGAAAGUCUGACCGAGCAACGCCGCGUGAGUGAAGAAGGUUUUCGGAUCGUAAAACUCUGUUGUUAGAGAAGAACAGGAGAAGUAGUAACUGGCUUCUUUUUGACGGUAUCUAACCAGAAAGCCACGGCUAACUACGUGCCAGCCGCCGCAGUAACAC